AACUGAGGCUGUCAAACCUGGGGCACAUCAUGAGAAGGCAACAUUCUCCAGAAAAGAAUAAUGGUGGAAAAGGAGAAACGUAACAGGAAAAGAGGAAGGCCGAAUAUGAGAUGCAUUGAUUCUAGAAAAGAAGUCACAGCCCAAAGUUUAAGAGUUGCACAUGGCAGCUUAGGACAGAACAUUUUGGAGGCCCUCCGUUAAUAAGAGUCGGACGCAACUUGACUUCACCUGACAACAUGUGAAGGAGGAUGGCAAUAUAGAGAAGAGGGUGAUCCUGUGCCUUUAACAGUUGUGCGGAAGAGGGAAUUUCAGCAGCUGUCAAGCAAACUGCAGCCGCGGGAUCCUCCCUUCUAACCAACUCUUAAAAGUACAGGAGCCCAGCUCCUCUUUUCCUACACGAUGCCAAACUAUCCUGCGCUGCAAUCUUUCGUCAGGGAUUCUGCUCUUCGUACCUAAACCUGAACCCAGGGCGCAUCCUGGCCAUGUAAACUCUCGGCCGGCUAAUGUUAAGAGCCGCUGCUGCUGCCCAUAGCUCCAGCCCCGACGUCUCCUGUCGCUGACCACACGCCUUUAUGAGGUAUGCUCUCCAAAGGGGGGGGGGAGCGAGAGUCAUUAUGGGCUGAAUCCUUAUUGGCCGUAGGAUCUGCUACAAGUGAGGGUUAUAGGCGAGCAAGGGGCCGGGCUGAGCCUGCCUUUGGGUCUGCGGCAGUGGAGGAGAGCUUACGUGUGCCCGAAAGCCACCCCGCCCCACAUCGGUGGGGUACACAGCUUUCGCCAGCAUGAGAGAUGACAGUAACGUGUUUGAGCCUCUUCUGGAUGAGGAAGACCUGAGCAGAUCCAAAUCUAUGAGAAAAGUAUUCGCAAAGGCUGUGAGAAAAGCUUCAUUCCAGGAGAAAUUGUGGGAAUUUCUGUCACAAAGCUCUGUAGCGUUAUGCCCCACCUUUCAGAAGAGCGUAGGUUAUGGUGUGCCCUGUGUCACCCAUAAGCCCUCUAUGACUGAGACUGAUAGGCCUUGGGUUAAAAGAAAAAUGGUGAUUUUGGUUAUCAGUUUAUCUGUGCUACUUGAACUUAUAUUUUUGUGCAUUCUGCUGUGUUUCUCAUACAAUCCUUCCACUGGGCCCCAAGAUCUACCCAAAGAGGAUGGGAUCAAAGCCAGGAAGAACAUGACAGCUGCCGUCUCAGUUGUGCCAGAAAAUCUCACCCUUGCAACUCUCUUGGCAGCUGAAACGGAAGAACCACAGGGGGGAGCCAUGAGGAACUGCUUGGAGAAAGCUGUUCAGGAGUUCUCUGAGGAGCCAAGCAUUGUGAAGAAGAACACCAGGAUGAUCCUGCAGUGUAACGGAACAAAGCGGGAGUUCCUGUCUGGAAAAGGGGGAAACCUCAUUGAAGUGGUCUGGAUCAAUGAGAAGGUGUCUUAUACAUUGGUUCAUGAAGCCCAUCCAGAUGUCUAUCUGGCAAGGCUUGGACGUCAUCCUUUGCCACUCAACAUCAGCAGCAUCCAGAGUGUCUUACAAGAUGUGGCUUCCCACAACGGCUCAGAAGAGCUACGGAGUUGCCUCAGGAAGGCCUUAGCAGAAUUGCCCUGGGAACCAGUAAUUGUGCAGGACAAUGCCAAAAUGGUGGUGUCUUGCGGAGGGACGAAUCUCGCCUUCAUCUCUGACAUAUAAAGAUCUUCUUCAAAAGUUUCUGUUGUUAAGUUAUAUAUUUAACCUCAUCUUCAACUUGGAACCAUUCCCCCCCCCCCAUUCUGGAAUAAAUUCAAACAAGGGGCCA
ensembl:lncRNA